GCUCUUGGAAUUCUCCCUCUCAGGAAACUAACUGCCUGCUGUGAAGCCCAAGCCACAUAGAGAGGCCAAGGGGAAAUAAACAGAGUGUGAUUAUAUGCAAAACCUACAAGAAUGAGGACCUUCAAACUCAGUGUACAGAGUGAUUUUCUGCGGAAAUAAUUGGUUGGUGUAAGAAUAUUGGAAACCUGAACCUAGCACUGUCUGCUACUGGCCUGGCGUCUUUGCCACAACAUGGGAAGAGAUUGCCUGGGAAUGAAGCCAACUCUGUGGAAAGCAUAAGAAAUAACUAAAGAAAGAUGGCACAUCUUAUCUGGACAGUGUUGAAAGUGAACUUUUAAAAAGAAGUAAAUUUUCUUGAAUCAUAGCCUGAGACAAUGAAGGGGUAAUUUAGGGGAAGAACACCUACCUCUAAGUUGCCUUUUUUGACCACAUACUGGAAGUUAGGUGUCAGUUACAAGCUGACUGAAAAACGGCAGGAAGGAGAGGGGCUUCUUCUCAGCCUUACCUUUAGGAAAUCCAAAAAAAAAAAAAAACUGAAUCCUCACUGAGUGGAGGAGAACAAAGAGCUCAGAUUCUAAGGACAAGGCACAAUCCAUUAGGUAUAGUGCAGAAGCUAAAAAAAGGAGAGGACUCUGAUUAAAACACAAAACCC
rnacentral:lncRNA from 1 species